rnacentral:rRNA from 1 species
UACGGAGGGAGCUAGCGUUUGUUCGGAAUUACUGGGCGUAAAGCGCACGUAGGCGGCUUUGUAAGUUAGAGGUGAAAGCCCAGGGCUUAACCCUGGAAUUGCCUUUAAGAUCUGCAUCGCUAGAAUCGUGGAGAGGUGAGUGGAAUUCCGAGUGUAGAGGUGAAAUUCGUAGAUAUUAGGAAGAACACCAGUGGCGGAAGGCGGCUUACUGGUCCGGUACUGACGGCUGAAGGUGCGGAAAGCGUGGGGAGCAAACAGG